rnacentral:rRNA from 1 species
UUCCGGUUGAUCCUGCCGGACCUUACUGCUAUCGGGGUGGGACUAAGACAUGCGAGUCGAGCGUCUCUAGCUAUGUUGAGACGCGGCAGACGGCUCAGUAACACGUGGCUAACCUACCCUCAGGACGAGGAUAAACCCGGGAAACUGGGGCUAAUACUCGAUAGGUGAGAAUGUCUGGAAUGAUUUCUCACUCAAAGGGCCUUGGAAACAUGCUCCCAUUGUCGCCUGGGGAUGGGGCCGCGUCCGAUCAGGUUGUUGGUGAGGUAAUGGCUCACCAAGCCUAUAACCGGUACGGGCCGUGAGAGCGGUAGCCCGGAGAUGGGUACUGAGACAAGGACCCAGGCCCUACGGGGCGCAGCAGUCGCGAAAACUCCGCAAUGCACGAAAGUGUGACGGGGCUACCCCGAGUGCCAUCCGCUGAGGAUGGCUUUUCUUUGGUGUAACUAGCCGGGGGAAUAAGGAGAGGGCAAGACUGGUGUCAGCCGCCGCGGUAAUACCAGCUCUCCGAGUGGUAGGGAUGAUUAUUGGGCUUAAAGCGUCCGUAGCCGGCUUAGCAAGUCUCCUGUUAAAUUCAGCGACCUAAUCGUUGAGCCGCGGGAGAUACUACUAGGCUAGGAGGCGGGAGAGGUCGACGGUACUUCUGGGGUAGGGGUGAAAUCCUAUAAUCCCGGGAGGACCACCAGUGGCGAAGGCUGUCGACUAGAACGCGCUCGACGGUGAGGGACGAAAGCUGGGGGAGCGAACCGGAUUAGAUACCCGGGUAGUCCCAGCCGUAAACGAUGCGGGCUAGGUGUUGGGGUGGCUACGUGCCACUUCAGUGCCGCAGGGAAGCCAUUAAGCCCGCCGCCUGGGGAGUACGGCCGCAAGGCUGAACUUUAAAGGAAUUGGCGGGG